rfam:Chryseobacterium gambrini strain DSM 18014 genome assembly, contig: Ga0111674_103
AAAGCGGUUUCCGAAAAGCUGACAGAGUAGGAG